UGCGCAGGUGGUUGAAUAAGUCAGUGGUGAAAGUCUGUCGCUUAACGGUAGGAUUGCCAUUGAUACUGUUUAACUUGAAUAUGGAUGAGGUAGGCGGAAUGUGUAGUGUAGCGGUGAAAUGCAUAGAUAUUACACAGAACACCGAUUGCGAAGGCAGCUUACUAAUCCAUUAUUGACGCUGAGGCACGAAAGCGUGGGGAUCAAACA
rnacentral:rRNA from 1 species